AGUCGAACGGUAACAGGAAGAGCUUGCUUCUUUGCUGACGAGUGGCGGACGGGUGAGUAAUGUCUGGGAAACUGCCUGAUGGAGGGGGAUAACUACUGGAAACGGUAGCUAAUACCGCAUAACGUCGCAAGACCAAAGAGGGGGACCUUCGGGCCUCUUGCCAUCGGAUGUGCCCAGAUGGGAUUAGCUAGUAGGUGGGGUAACGGCUCACCUAGGCGACGAUCCCUAGCUGGUCUGAGAGGAUGACCAGCCACACUGGAACUGAGACACGGUCCAGACUCCUACGGGAGGCAGCAGUGGGGAAUAUUGCACAAUGGGCGCAAGCCUGAUGCACCCAUGCCGCGUGUAUGAAGAAGGCCUUCGGGUUGUAAAGUACUUUCAGCGGGGAGGAAGGGAGUAAAGUUAAUACCUUUGCUCAUUGACGUUACCCGCAAAAGAAGCACCGGCUAACUCCGUGCCAGCAGCC
rnacentral:rRNA from 1 species